UACGUAGGGUGCAAGCGUUGUCCGGAAUUAUUGGGCGUAAAGAGCUUGUAGGCGGUUUGUCGCGUCUGCUGUGAAAAUCCGGGGCUCAACCCCGGACUUGCAGUGGGUACGGGCAGACUAGAGUGUGGUAGGGGAGACUGGAAUUCCUGGUGUAGCGGUGGAAUGCGCAGAUAUCAGGAGGAACACCGAUGGCGAAGGCAGGUCUCUGGACGGUGACUGACGCUGAGACGCGAAAGCGUGGGGAGCAAACAGG
rnacentral:rRNA from 1 species